rnacentral:lncRNA from 1 species
AUGUUUUGGCUUUAAUAACAUAAAAAGUUUCAAUUAGUUUAUAUAUAGAAAGAGAAAGAUAGUAAGUGAGAGAGAAAGAUAGUAAGUUACCUGCUUCAUACAAUUAUUAGAAAUAAAGUCAGCUAGAAAUGUUAAGUAACUUGGCUUCAAACUUGGGAUCUUGAGAAUCAAUCAUCAAUCACUUAGUCAACUAUACUAGGUACAAUUGGUGAAGAUUCG